UGGGCAUCUAAAAUUAAAAAUAUGUAAAAUUAUUUAUGUAUAUGUUUCACUAUGUAAACAUUACAAUGAUACAAAUGGUAUUUACAGAUCUGUUUGCGUGGAACCUUGACCACGAAAAUGUUUGUAACCAUUGACUGGUUUAUCACAAAUAUAACACAUUUCAGCACCACAAACACAAACCAUUUUAUUGCACCCCUCUUCUUUAAAGAAAGAUUCAGCUUCACCACAAUUCAGCGGUACAUGAUUUAAUUGUUUACAUAAUCUAAAUAAAAAAUAAAUAGAUCAAAAUCUAUAAUAUGCUUUUAAACUUUAAAUAAUAUCAUAGAAGCACUAUACUUGCCUACAAGAUUCUUUCAUGCAAUCAGGAUUAAAACAUUUAAAAACUUUAUCUUCCGGUGGUGGUAUAGAUGCAAAAUGGCAAAAUGGACAAGAUACCAAACCUUCUAAUCCGGCUGCCAUUAUUUCUGCUUCUUGUCUUUUUCGAAGUAGUAUACUAAAUGUUGUUGGAGAAAGUACCUUUUGAAGUGUUGAUAGACUAAACUCACUUGUACAAUUUACGAAGCAAUGGAUAUGUGUUUCACUUUCUCCUAACUUCAGUUCAGCACCUUUUAUAAUACAGGUAUUACAAAAUGUAUGACCAUUAUCACAACUGGAACAUUUAGAUGGCAUACAUUCGUCGUCGAAACAGCAUUGGCAUUGGAGAAGACCCUUACUCUUCUAUUAUACAAUUAUCAAUUGAUAUUAUUAUAUAAACUAUUAAGAGUGUGUUUAUACUAGAAAAUACAUUAUCACAAAAAUAUUUA